UGUCCAGGGGCGGGAAUCGAACCCACAACCUUCUGCUUACCGGGCAGGUGCCAUGUCCACUAGGCUACCAGUUC